UAGUGAAUAGGUGAUUUAUCCGACUAAAGCGGGUCGAUAUCUCCCAAUGUUUUCAUCGUACGCGUAUUUUGUUGUGGUCUAGUUCUUAUUCGGUUUUCGCACACCAUCUGUCCCAUUAGAACCAACUAGGAAACAUGUGAGGUCCUAGGCCUAUUCGGAGUAAUCAUGUGGUCUCUUCUCUUUCUUAACUUUGGCCACCUAUGAGCAGAACGGACAAAAAUAACUGAUAGUGCUCUUGGUCGUACAUCAUGUGUCUAUCGGCUUAAAAUCUGCCGCGGAGAAAAUACCUAUGGGUUUUCCACCCUCGUCUUCCAAAUCAUAACAAUUUGUGCCAACUCUCGCGAUUACUGUACAUGGAACGUAACAAGGACCGAAUUUGGCAUUGUAGUUACUUGGCGCUGACGACUGCCUAAAAUUUCUUUUGAGAACUUUCUGUCCUACUGAGUAUGAAGGUUUCUUCGAACCAGGUCGUAAAUAAAGUGAUCGAUGGCGUUUUUGGUUAUCAUUCUUUCCUUUUCCGAAAUAUCCAGUUCAUCGAGA